rnacentral:rRNA from 1 species
AUCGGCCAUCAUACCAAGUUGAAUACACUGAUUCUUGUCCGAUCAUAGAAGUUAAGCAAAAUCGGGCAUGGCCAGUACCUGGAUGGGUGACCCUUACAAGUUUGAAGGGCAGUGU